GACGAACGCUGGCGGCGUGCUUAACACAUGCAAGUCGAACGGUGAAGCGCCUUCCUUUUUGGUGGGUGUGGAUGAGUGGCGAACGGGUGAGUAACACGUGAGUAACCUGCCCCCUUCUUCUGGAUAACCGCAUGAAAGUGUGGCUAAUACGGGAUAUUCUGGGUCUGUCGCAUGAUGGGUCUGGGAAAGAUAUUGUUUCGGUGGGGGAUGGGCUCGCGGCCUAUCAGCUUGUUGGUGGGGUGAUGGCCUACCAAGGCGGUGACGGGUAGCCGGCCUGAGAGGGUGGACGGUCACACUGGGACUGAGACACGGCCCAGACUCCUACGGGAGGCAGCAGUGGGGAAUAGGGCACAAUGGGCGCAAGCCUGAUGCAGCGACGCCGCGUGAGGGAUGGAGGCCUUCGGGUUGUGAACCUCUUUCGCCAGUGAAGCAGGCCUGCCUCGUUUGUGGGUGGGUUGACGGUAGCUGGAUAAGAAGCGCCGGCUAACUACGUG
rnacentral:rRNA from 1 species